UACAAAUCAAUAUGAUUUCUUUCGUUUGAGGAACGAAUUAGACAGAAAUCAAUUUCUACUUGGUGUGAUAAUGAAUUACUUUUUCGGAAUUACAAGGUUUUCAUUCGAAUACCUGGUGUAUAUCACGUGGUUCUUUAGAACCGAUCUCGUUAGCAAGGCUAUAUAAGAGGUGAAUAGUGGUUUAAAUACCAGUUUAGGAGGACACGUAGAGCACGAUAAAGUUUAAAUCUCAGAUGCAGAACGAAGUGGCGUAGGGCGUGGUUCAUCGACAUGUUUAGCCAUUGUAGAUGAUAUGAAAUCACAGAAAAUAGAGUUGGAGAGAGAUUUGACAGUGUGGAAAACGAGGUCAUCAAAGAAAAGCCAUCUUAGAUCUUGUUUUUAUAAGAUAAGUAUUCAUUUGAGAAUACAAUUGAUCAGUUUUUGAAUAAUUACAUGUUGGGGUUGGUAUCACGAUGAGUAUAAUGAAGAAUGUGAUUUUAAGAUCUCCAGAGAAGUAUGGUAUUAUUGGUUAUAUUCUUCUUACGUUUAAUUCAAGCACCAUGAGGUAUUAAUCGGUGUACCAAUAAUGACAGAGUUUCAAAGAGGCACAUAUCCAAGGAAUUGAGAUGGGAUUCAAGAUAUUUCACAGGAAUGUGUAUUUUGUGCUAUUUUGAUAUUGGAUGCUGAAUAUACUUCUAUGUAUAACUGUGUCGAAUUCAUUUGAUAUAUUUGAGGUCUUCUUCCCUGGGACUUCACGAUAAAUCGUAUGGUAUGCGUUGAAUUUGAUUUGAAACUAUACUCAAAACUCAAGUGCAGCAAGCAUUUAUCGAUGUAUGGAUAGGAUGUGUGCAUAACAUCAAGACUUUUAAAAUCAGACUCACAUGGUGAAUUGCGUUAUGGAUUUUCAAAAGACGGCGGUGUAUUGAAUUUGUUUAGGAUGGAUAUACAUGUAUAUGUAUUUUUUUUUGGUGAUUAUUUAAUUGUUUUCAAAACAUUUUAUUGGAAAAUUUCCGUAAAAUUUUAUGUAUUUAUUGUUUGAAAUAUUGAAUGAUUUAUGAUUUAAAUGAAUUUUGUUGGAUUUAAUUUAAAAUCAAUGAUUUUAUACUUUCAUUUUCCCGUUCUUUGUAUUUAGAGCUACUGCGUGUCGUUGCUAUGUCCAAAUGGUGUGUUUGUUGUUUAUUGUACUUUCAUUUGAAAGUAAUGAAUGGAUUUAGAGUAGAAAUAUGAUUUCUUUCGUUUGAGGAACGAAUUAGACAGAAAUCAAUUUCUACUUGGUGUGAUAAUGAAUUACUUUUUCGGAAUUACAAGGUUUUCAUUCGAAUACCUGGUGUAUAUCACGUGGUUCUUUAGAACCGAUCUCGUUAGCAAGGCUAUAUAAGAGGUGAAUAGUGGUUUAAAUACCAGUUUAGGACGACACGUAGAGCACGAUAAAGUUUAAAUUUUAUCAUGAUUUAUUCAAUCCAACAUAAACUUGUAUAUACAAAUUGAUUUUCAUAUUUUGCAUAUGUUAUGUACACUGCGCAAAUAAAGCUACUGCGUGUCGUUGCUAUGUCCAAAUGGUGUGUUUGUUGUUUAUUGUACUUUCAUUUGAAAGUAAUGAAUGGAUUUAGAGUA